rnacentral:lncRNA from 1 species
ACCAAUAAAAACGACGAACAAACAUAAUCUUUCAAUCCAUUUUUAGUUCUCACACCCAUUACUGAAUAUUAAUACUUUUCAUAAACACACCUCAUUACUCAUACAGCGAGAUUCAUGACGAUAACAUAUUCGAUUAUUGAUGAUGAUCAUGACCCGAUGUUUAUCUUGAUGAUAACAACAAAACCAGAGUUUAGAUUAUGGAUAUGUAUACAUAUCCAACACACAAAAACCCAAAAGCAUAUAUAUAAAAGAAAGUAUGAAAUGGGUUUAUAUUUUCCACUCGCACAAGACCCUUGACAAGAAUCUUCCUUGGUCACCUUUUUUUGGGUUUAUUAUUCCCAGAAAUCUCAAGAACUAAAAAGACACAUAAGCAAGCAGGG